AAUCCAUGCAUUAGACAUUUAUGAAUUAAAUCUUUAAAUUGUUCCCAAGCUUCAUAUAAUGUUUCAUCCUCUAACUCCCAAAAAGAUGUGAUGUCAUUUCUAAGCUU
rfam:Gossypium arboreum cultivar AKA8401 contig_48623_3, whole genome shotgun sequence.